GCGCUUUUUCGUGGUGAUUUGCAGCAUAUUGCAGCCACGUUAAAUAAAUAGCUAAAAAGCUAAUCCAGUGAAAA
rnacentral:ncRNA from 2 species